AAACCACGUGGCUGGUCUUUCACUUCCAUAGCUAGAGAAAAGUAGAAAUUGUACAGUCAGUUUUGAAGCUCUGAGCAAGUGGUCAAACUAUUUGUCUGUAUUGGUGGAGGCUGAAGACAUGAGUCCAUGGACAGGGGCUACUGAGGAACCUUCAUCAAGAACAUUAACAAGUCUCGUGCAUGGACAAAGAUGAUGUGUACAGUUUUGGAGUGCUUGCUUGUGAAGUGGUGAAUGCCAGAUUUCCUGAAGCUGCUGUAUUUCUUGGUCUGCUAUCGAGUAUGGAAGGUGUAUGGCGGGAGCUCCACCCACUCAUCACCUCAGGACAGACCCUCCAUGGACACUGUGUUACACCACAUCAAACAAUUGGACUCUGAGUCUUAGUAUUGGUGCAUGAGUGUGUUAUUAUUAAUUUGUGUAAAGAAUAUAAUUAUUAUGAAGAUUUUCUUGCAAACAAAGUGGGGGAGGGGCUGCUCAAGAUGAGGGGGUGUUGCAUAUGGGGCCAGAGAUCAGAAAGCCAUGUGGACUCACUGAAAACUGUACUAGAUAUCAUGCAAGAUGAUAGCAGCCACGGUCCUCACACUUGUCUGCUCCCUUCAUAAAGCUAGCUCUCUGGGGAAGGUGAACGUACAGGUGGUUUUACUUCCCUAUGUCCCCUCCAGCACUGGAGUCAAGGUCAACUUCACUCUGAGCUCCCCUCAAGGUUGCUUCUUUUGGUGUUGGCAAGUCCACCCUCCUCCGCUCUAUGGCGUGUCAUGAGCUGCGUCUACCAGCUGGUGUGAGUGUACUACACGUGGAGCAAGAGGUCACCGGGGACAACACACUAGCACUGGAUAGUGUACUCAAGUGUGACACUGAGAGAGUGCAGCUGCUCGCUAGAGAGGGGGAGCUACUGCAUGGCCUCAGGGGACAAGAACACAGCAGCAGGCAGUGCUUCUGAUGAGCUGGCUGAGGUAUACCUUCCACUACAGGAG